GCACAAGCGGUGGAUGAUGUGGUUUAAUUCGAUGCAACGACGAAAACCUUACCACCUUUGACAUGGCAGGAAUCCCGAAGAGAUUUGGGAGUGCUCGAAAGAGAACCUGCACACAGGUGCUGCAUGGCUGUCGUCAGCUCGUGUCGUGAGAUGUUGGGUUAAGUCCCGCAACGAGCGCAACCCUUGCCAUUAGUUGCUACGAAAGGGCACUCUAAUGGGACUGCCGGUGACAAACCGGAGGAAGGUGGGGAUGACGUCAAGUCCUCAUGGCCCUUAUAGGUGGGGCUACACACGUCAUACAAUGGCCGGUACAGAGGGUAGCCAACCCGCGAGGGGGAGCCAAUCCCACAAAGCCGGUCGUAGUCCGGAUCGCAGUCUGCAACUCGACUGCGUGAAGUCGGAAUCGCUAGUAAUCGCGGAUCAGCAUGUCGCGGUGAAUACGUUCCCGGGUCUU
rnacentral:rRNA from 1 species